rnacentral:rRNA from 1 species
CAAGGAAUUUUGCGCAAUGGGCGAAAGCCUGACGCAGCAACGCCGCGUGGGGGAUGAAGGCCCUCGGGUCGUAAACCCCUUUUGUGAGGGAAGUAACUGACGGUACCUCACGAAUAAGCCACGGCUAACUACGUGCCAGCAGCCGCGGUAAUACGUAGGUGGCAAGCGUUGUCCGGAUUUACUGGGCGUAAAGGGCGCGCAGGUGGCCUUUCAAGUCUGGGGUGAAAUCUCCCGGCUCAACCGGGAGGAGUCUCUGGAUACUGAUAGGCUUGAGGGAAGCAGAGGAAAGCGGAAUUCCCGGUGUAGCGGUGAUAUGCGUAGAUAUCGGGAGGAACACCAGUGGCGAAGGCGGCUUUCUGGGCUUUUCCUGACGCUGAGGCGCGAAAGCGUGGGGAGCGAACCGGAUUAGAUACCCCCGUAGUCC